CAGGUGCGAGCUCGCUACUCCUGUUCUGUGUAUGGCACUGGUAGAAUUCACUGUGCAACCCCGCGGUCAGUGAAUUACCAUAGGGCCAUAAACAGAGCAGAGAAAGGCCCGCGAGCCCCGGC
rnacentral:pre_miRNA from 10 species